rnacentral:lncRNA from 1 species
AAAGUUAUGGGAAUUACUUUGCUCUGCCUCUCUGAAGAAUAGCAUAUUUAGUUUCUAUCUUACACACAAAAUGUGCAUAUAAGUAAAAAUCGUGUCAGCAUCUGAGUUGCUCUGUCCCCAUAACCUCAGUAAUGGAUUUCUAUGUGCAUGUGUUCGUAUAAAGCAGAAGCAAAUAAAAAUUUUUGGCCUCAUCUUUAGAUCAGUCAAGAUGUGAAAAAUGAAGCUGUAAGCCAAGUAGAUUGCUUGGGGAACUGGGAGAAAAGAUCUUUCUUCAGGUCCCACCCACAGGAGCACAUUUUCCAAGUGAUGCUAAGCAGAAGUCCGAAGGGGAACAGAAGAAGAGGCCAUACCAAGUUGAGCAAGGCCGUGGGCUGACAUCAUGAGUUGAGCUCAUAACUUGCUGUACCUAAGAGGAUACUGCAACACACCCAGCUCUAUUCAUGGAAGAGAAAACAGUCUACUUUACCUCCACAGGAGUACCUCUUGGGUAUUAUUUCUGCUCUUUUUUGGAGAGAAAUUGAACACACAGGAAGAAAAUUAUGUACAUGCUGAACUACAAAAGAAAAUCUUGAACAAAAAUGACUGAACAGAAGGAAAAGGGAAAAAAUCAGUUUCUCUGUGGGUUGCUGCUGUGCCUCUGGUGCUCAUCAAUAAUCUUCCAGAGCGAUAAUCUGAGACUCAUCCCCAAAAAGGCUCAAUCAGUAAGCCGGUAAAUUGAGUGUUACAAAUUCACUGUGAUAGCAGAAUAUGGG